rnacentral:tRNA from 1 species
GGGCUCGUAGCUCAGUUGGUUAGAGCGCCUGCUUGACACGCAGGAGGUCGAUAGUUCGAGUCUAUUCGAGCCCACCA